GCUUGUAUUACAAUUUCCUUAAGGGGAAUAUUUCGUAUACAAGCCAUUUGUACAACUCCAGCAUAACCAGCCAACCAGGUGUUUUUGGUCCAUUGAUUCUUAAGUAAGACACAACCCAAGGGAUGUACUGUGACAGUAAAAGAUUUUUACAAACGAGUUGUAUCUAUAAUGGGGGCUCUUCUUUUAGGUAACUAGAUUCUGUAGCACAUCAUGGCAUAAAACAGCACUGCAACCACAAACUAGCCCACAGUAUUACCAUUUUCAUCGUCAUCCCUUUAAGUCUAUAGUUGUUUGAUGUAUACUGGUUUAUAACAAUGUCAUAAUCAAUUAUCACAUUACCCGCAGAUGAAUCCUCUGAUUUUGAUGAAUUGAAAGACCUUCCUCCUGUUGAGUUGUCCAGCCUUCCUUUAUACUGUACUUUUAAAGGGAGCGAAGGAUCCAUUUCGCAUCGCAGAAUUAAUAUGCCAAGAUAUGACUAGAGGUUGUUAUUGUUAAUGCAGAAAGUCAUCGUGCUUUUGUGCAGAAGCAUGCAACUAGGAGGCCCUGUUUUUUCUUGACUUCUGUUUUCUCAGUAAAAGUUGCGUCCUGCUCAACAAUUACGGCUGUCUAGGGAUCUCAUUAAUAAUAAAGGUGUGUUUGGCAUCAUUUUUGACUUGUUAUAGAGUCAAGGAGCAGGACAAGCAUGUCCUUGAUCAGGAUCCUAGCUUAGUCAGGGAAUGUAUUGCCCAUCAUGAACACAACUAUCAAGAUGUCAGUUCUCUUCUUGAAUUCUAGCAUAAAUCUGAUGGGCUUGUGGAUUUUUGUGCUGCGUGAGGAGAAUCCAAAAAUCCACCUCAAGCUAGAUUUUAUUGGAUUUGUGUGCACAAUCCAGAAAUCCAAAAACCCACCCGUACAGAACAUGGCCUUAAUUUUGAAGGCAGUGGAGCCUCUCGGAUUCAACAACAUGCCAACUUUGGAUGCCGAGCGUCAAAAGGACAAGCUGCUGGGGAUUUGUCUCCCAAGAUGGUUCUAGAUGCCACAAAAUCAACUGCUUCGGAGCUCGAGUGAGAUGAGACUAUUCUUUUUUUUUCACAAUAGAUUCAUCGACCUCCCGUUCUUAUGAAGAAAAGAACACACAGCUAGAGUUGGAACUUGCAAGAAAUGACCAGAUAUGGGAUUGUUUUGGCAACAGUUGCGUAUUUUCUCGCACGCUGGACGC